UACGUAGGGGGGCAAGCGUUUGUCCGGAUUUAUUGGGCGUAAAGAGCGUGUAGGCGGCCCGGUAAGUCCGCUGUGAAAGUCCAGGGCUCAACCCUGGGAUGCCGGUGGAUACUGUCGGGCUCGAGUCCGGAAGAGGAGUGUGGAAUUCCCGGUGUAGUGGUGAUAUGCGUAGAUAUCGAGAGGAACACCUGCGGCGAAGGCGG
rnacentral:rRNA from 1 species